rnacentral:rRNA from 1 species
UACGUAGGGUGCGAGCGUUAAUCGGAAUUACUGGGCGUAAAGCGUGCGCAGGCGGUUCGUUGUGUCGGUGGUGAAAGCCCCUGGGCUUAACCUGGGAAUGGCCAUGGAAACUGGCGAACUGGAGUGUGGCAGAGGGGGGUGGAAUUCCGCGUGUAGCAGUGAAAUGCGUAGAGAUGCGGAGGAACACCGAUGGCGAAGGCAGCCCCCUGGGCUAGCACUGACGCUCAGGCACGAAAGCGUGGGGAGCAAACAGG